UACGUAGGGUGCGAGCGUUGUCCGGAAUUACUGGGCGUAAAGAGCUCGUAGGUGGUUUGUCGCGUUGUUCGUGAAAUCUCACGGCUUAACUGUGAGCGUGCGGGCGAUACGGGCAGACUAGAGUACUGCAGGGGAGACUGGAAUUCCUGGUGUAGCGGUGGAAUGCGCAGAUAUCAGGAGGAACACCGGUGGCGAAGGCGGGUCUCUGGGCAGUAACUGACGCUGAGGAGCGAAAGCGCGGGGAGCGAACAGG
rnacentral:rRNA from 1 species